rnacentral:rRNA from 1 species
AGAGUUUGAUCCUGGCUCAGGACGAACGCUGGCGGCGUGCCUAAUACAUGCAAGUAGGACGCACAGUUUAUACCGUAGCUUGCUACACCAUAGACUGUGAGUUGCGAACGGGUGAGUAACGCGUAGGUAACCUACCUAUUAGAGGGGGAUAACUAUUGGAAACGAUAGCUAAUACCGCAUAACAGUAUGUAACACAUGUUAGAUGCUUGAAAGAUGCAAUUGCAUCGCUAGUAGAUGGACCUGCGUUGUAUUAGCUAGUAGGUAGGGUAAUGGCCUACCUAGGCAACGAUACAUAGCCGACCUGAGAGGGUGAUCGGCCACACUGGGACUGAGACACGGCCCAGACUCCUACGGGAGGCAGCAGUAGGGAAUCUUCGGCAAUGGGGGGAACCCUGACCGAGCAACGCCGCGUGAGUGAAGAAGGUUUUCGGAUCGUAAAGCUCUGUUGUUAAGGAAGAACGAGUGUGAGAAUGGAAAGUUCAUGCUGUGACGGUACUUAACCAGAAAGGGACGGCUAACUACGUGCCAGCAGCCGCGGUAAUACGUAGGUCCCGAGCGUUGUCCGGAUUUAUUGGGCGUAAAGCGAGCGCAGGCGGUUAGAAAAGUCUGAAGUGAAAGGCAGUGGCUCAACCAUUGUAGGCUUUGGAAACUGUUUAACUUGAGUGCAGAAGGGGAGAGUGGAAUUCCAUGUGUAGCGGUGAAAUGCGUAGAUAUAUGGAGGAACACCGGUGGCGAAAGCGGCUCUCUGGUCUGUAACUGACGCUGAGGCUCGAAAGCGUGGGGAGCGAACAGGAUUAGAUACCCUGGUAGUCCACGCCGUAAACGAUGAGUGCUAGGUGUUAGGUCCUUUCCGGGACUUAGUGCCGCAGCUAACGCAUUAAGCACUCCGCCUGGGGAGUACGACCGCAAGGUUGAAACUCAAAGGAAUUGACGGGGGCCCG